rnacentral:SRP_RNA from 1 species
GCCGGGCAUGGUAGCGCAUGCCUGUAGUCCCAGCUACUCAGGAGGUUGAGGCAGGAGAAUCGCUUGAACCUGGGAGACGGAGGUUGCAGUGAGCCGAGAUCAUGCCACUGCACUCCAGCCUGGGUGACAGAGUGAGACUCUGUCUCAC